CUGGAGACUCCUCUUUUGUUUCCUUAGAUAUUUAUAGACCCAUGAAUUAUGGUCAUCUGGGUCUAAAAGACAUCCACUUCUUUGUGUACUCACAGAAUGACAAAAUAACUUAUACCUGACCAAGAUGGCUGCCAUUUCCAGCACUUUCUAGAGUUAUGAAGGUUUAUGACAGGCCACUCUCUGUUUCUAGGUUAUUGUAUCUCCAUGUGUGUACUGAUUUGAUUGCUGGUUCUUCUUCACAGGUUGCCUAACAUUGGCAACACUUGCUUCCUAAAUGCCACCCUGCAGUGCCUCCUGGUCCUGCCUUCCUUCUCAAAGGAAAUCCUACGCCAGGAACAACUCUGGAACUCCUCCCCCUUCUCCAACCUGCUCAGUGGCGCAAACCAGGCCUCAAAAGCAGACCUCAUGUGGAAGGUCAAGUACUCCUUGUCGGGAUAUGAUUUGAAGUAUCUGGGGGACACGCAACAGGACGCACACGAGUUACUUGUGAAUAUGCUGUGCUGUGCCAGCUGAAGGAGGAGGGAAUGAUACUGAAGACACUC